AAUCACUUGUCUUUUAAAUGAAGACCCGUAUGAAUGGCAUAACGAGGGCUUAGCUGUCUCUUUUCUCCAAGUCAGUGAAAUUGAUCUCCCCGUGCAGAAGCGGGGAUACAAACAUAAGACGAGAAGACCCUAUGGAGCUUUAGACACAAAGCAGCCCAAAUUAAGACUCCAAAAUUAAAACGGAGCAAUAAAAUGACAACCCUGCUCAAAUGUCUUUGGUUGGGGCGACCAUGGGGAAAAACGAAACCCCCACGUGGAACGGAAGAACUUCUUCUACAACCAAGAGCCGCCACUCCAAGUGACAGAAUCUCUGACCAUAAAUGAUCCGGUACUACCGAUCAACGAACCGAGUUACCCUAGGGAUAACAGCGCAAUCCCCUUCCAGAGCCCA
rnacentral:rRNA from 1 species